rnacentral:rRNA from 1 species
AUUGAACGCUGGCGGCAGGCCUAACACAUGCAAGUCGAACGAGUGGCGGACGGGUGAGUAAUGGCUGGGAAACUGCCUGAUGGAGGGGGAUAACGACUGGAAACGGUAGCUAAUACCGCAUACCAUCGGAUGUGCCCAGAUGGGAUUAGCUAGUAGGUGGGGUAAAGGCUCAACUAGGCCACGAUCCCUAGCUGGUCAGAGAGGAUGAUCAGCCACACUGGAACGGAGACACGGUCCAGACUCCUACGGGAGGCAGCAGUGGGGAAUAUUGCAAAAUGGGCGCAAGCCUGAUGCAGCCAUGCCGCGUGUAUGAAGAAGGCUUUCGGGUUGUAAAGUACUUUCAGCGGGGAGGCGUUACCCGCAGAAGAAGGACCGGCUAACUCACGGCCCGCAGCCGCGGUAAUUC